rnacentral:lncRNA from 1 species
CUUCCCGGAACGCCCAGAGCGGCUCCAUGCCAUCAAGGAGCAACUGAUCCAGGAGGGCCUCCUGGACCGCUGCUGGUGUCCUACCAGGCCCGAUUCGCUGAAAAGGAGGAGCUGAUGUUGGUUCACAGCCUAGAAUAUAUUGAUCUGAUGGAAACGACCCAGUACAUGAACGAGGAGGAGCUCACGUCCCUAGCAGAUACCUAUGACUCAGUUAUCUGCAUCCGGUAUGGAUGGGAACUGUGAGGGCAGAGGUGGUGGCCAUCCUGGGAUUCCCCAUUCCCACAUCCAUACCACUCUGGAGGGAGUAGCUGAGGGACAUGGCCACUCUCAUCCUCUCCCUCAUUCCCCUCUCUGACUCCCCACUGUCUUCUCCAGAACUCAUACACCUGUGCCUGCCUGGCCUCAGGCUCUGUCCUCAGGCUGGUGAUGCAGUCCUGGAGGCUGAGAUCCGGAAUGGCCAUGGCCAUCAUCAGGCCUCCUGGACACCACGCCCAGCACAGUCUCAUGGAUGGAUAUUGCAUGUUCACCACGUGGCCGUGGCUGCCCGUUACGCUCAACAGAAGCAUGAUUAUUCAGAGGUCAGCAGCAAGCAGCAGGGCGGGUGUAAUGAGGGUGAUAUGAGGUGGGGUGUCCUGGUCUGGGCACUUCUUCCCAGUGUUCUUGCUCUUCUUACAUAGUGGCCCCCCCUUCUCUCCCACUCACAGGGUCCUUAUUGUGGAUUGGGAUGUGCACCAUGGUCAGGGAUACAGUUCGCCUUUGACCAAGAUCCUAG